GGGUUGCAACCGGCUCCUAGCCUAUCGUCACCGCCUUUCUGUGGCGUUUGCACAAGAUUAGCCAAUCAGAGGCCUGUUGCGAGGUCGUCCCAGGAAAGAAGUGAUGAUUGGCGUGGCGUGGGGGCGGGGAGCUCCUAACGAGAAGGGAGUGACCAUGGAAGGGCGGAACCAGGACGUUAGGGGCCAUAGGGCGCGUGCGCAGGGGUUUAGAAGGUUCCAGGUCCGCUGAGCCGUUUGGACAGCCAGGCUGCGGGAGGGGUACGGUAUCGCGAGGUUUGGCGAGGCCCGGGAGUGGGAGGGGGCUGCCUGUAGAGCUGUCGUCAGUUUGUCGGCGCACCCUCAGCUGCCGGUGCUACGUGACUGAAACGGAAGUCCACCAGGCUCCCCCGUCCCUGGGAUUCUCCAGGCAAGAACACUGGAGUGGGUUGCCAUUUCCUUCUCCAGUGCAUGAAAGUGAAGUCGCUCAGUCGUGUCCGACUCAUAGCGACCCCGUGGACUACAGCCUACCAGGCUCCUCCAUCCGUGGGAUUUUCCAGGCAAGAGUACUGGAGUGCGGUGCCAUUGCCUUCUCCGCCGGCAGCCCUAGACUGAGGGAAAGACAGAGAAAGAGGGAAGAGUGAGGGGAAGAGCCUUAACCCGGGCGCGCCCAGCCGUUCUGUGGCGUAGAGAUCCGGAAAGCCAAAGUUGUGCCGGGACGUGAGGAAGACGUCAGAAUACCCCACCGCGGCGAGGCCGCAUGGAGUAUCCCGGAACCUCGCCGCAGAGUGCUGCGGGGGUGCGGUGCAAGGCCGUUGCCCAGAGACCUCUGUUAGGGGAAAAUUGUCUUCCCACGCCGUUCGCACAUUCUGACAGCUCUAUAGAUAGGCGUGUGUGCGAGCGUAUGGGAAAAUAAAAAUUACUAAAAUAAUGAUGUUUGGUAGAGGACGACGGUAUUAAAAGUGAUUUGUAAAAAUUCCUUUGGCUUGUUACUCUUGAAAUCUAAUUUAAAAUUAAGGUACUUGUAGGGGGUUCCCUGGUGGUCUAGUGGUUAGGCCUAUGCGCUUUCAAUGUCGUGGACCCUAGCUAGAUCCCUGGUAGGGAACUAAGAUCUCACAUGCCCCGUGGCCAAGAAGAAAGUGUUUUUCACUUUUUCCACAAUGAGCGUGUGGGUAGUGCAGCACAAUACCGGUAAGAGCUUCAUUGUCCUGCCACUGCUUCCCUCCCACGGGAUGAUCGUUUUAUCCUUUGACUCUCAGCCUAAG
ensembl:lncRNA